CCUCAAAAGACAAUGUUGAUUCUCUCUCUCUCUCUCUCUCUCUCUCUCUCUCUGUGUGUGUGUGUGUGUGAGAGAGAGAGAGAGAGAGAGAGAGAGAGAGAAAAUCAACAUUGUCUUUUGAG